rnacentral:rRNA from 1 species
UACGUAGGCAGCAAGCGUUGUUCGGAAUUACUGGGCGUAAAGAGUGUGUAGGCGGUGUUCUAAGUCUGGUGUGAAAUCUCCCGGCUCAACUGGGAGGGUGCGCCGGAAACUGGAAUGCUCGAGUAUGGGAGAGGUAAGCGGAAUUCCUGGUGUAGCGGUGAAAUGCGUAGAUAUCAGGAGGAACACCGGUGGCGAAGGCGGGUCUCUGGGCCGAUACUGACGCUGAGGAGCGAAAGCGUGGGGAGCGAACAGG